rnacentral:rRNA from 1 species
AGCUUGACUGCGAGCGUGACGGCGCGAGCAGGUGCGAAAGCAGGUCAUAGUGAUCCGGUGGUUCUGAAUGGAAGGGCCAUCGCUCAACGGAUAAAAGGUACUCCGGGGAUAACAGGCUGAUACCGCCCAAGAGUUCAUAUCGACGGCGGUGUUUGGCACCUCGAUGUCGGCUCAUCACAUCCUGGGGCUGAAGUAGGUCCCAAGGGUAUGGCUGUUCGCCAUUUAAAGUGGUACGCGAGCUGGGUUUAGAACGUCGUGAGACAGUUCGGUCCCUAUCUGCCGUGGGCGCUGGAGAAUUGAGGGGGGCUGCUCCUAGUACGAGAGGACCGGAGUGGACGCAUCACUGGUGUUCGGGUUGUCAUGCCAAUGGCACUGCCCGGUAGCUAAAUGCGGAAGAGAUAAGUGCUGAAAGCAUCUAAGCACGAAACUUGCCCCGAGAUGAGUUCUCCCUGAGACUUUAAGUCUCCUGAAGGAACGUUGAAGACGACGACGUUGAUAGGCCGGGUGUGUAAGCGCAGCGAUGCGUUGAGCUAACCGGUACUAAUGAACCGUGAGGCUUAACCUUACAACGCCGAAG